CUUGCCAAUUGUCUGUUAACUAGUAGGUUUAAAAAUUGGGUCUCUGGGAACUACUACUCUCAAAUAUUGCCCCUUUCUUAUUCAUUGCAUAUUUUAUGGAUCCAUCCUCAUAAAACUGUAGUUCAUAAGGCCCCACCAAUGGGCGGUAUACAUAAGCUCAAAGCCAAAGUAUUUCCUAAGAUGGCACAGUAAAAACAGUAGCUAUAUGGCAUUCCUCCUCCACCCCUAAUAAACCUGGGGCACAUUCCCACAAAUGUACACACCAUCAGGAGAAAAAUAGCUGUAAACACUAAUAAGGAGGCACCCAUGAAGGGCACACAGGGGGCCAAGGACACAUGAGUAGAGCAGAGGUGUCAAACAUACUGAGUGCCAAGGAAUCAGAUUAAAAUGGCAUUGGGAAAUAGCUAACAAAAGAAAUUAAAUGCCCUAUCACAUAGAUAAUGCAUCGGUUUUUUGCUAUGCAGCCUGCAGGCAUCCUCCUUAUAUAGAGAUAUGACCCCUGAUUUGAAUUUAACACCUCUAAUAUCUUUUCUCUUCCUCUGGCAUCCUUAUGCUCCUUCCCCCUGAGGGCAAUAAUAUCUCCUUAAGCGGAGGGGACAGAGAAACCAAAUUCCCACCCUAACCAUCACCUCAACAGCAAGAUCCCAGAGGAUGAUUUUAUCCUUUUGAGGAUGAAUCAGCAUGAUUGAACAUGACUUUUACUUGGAGAACAAUGGGGAUAAUAACAUUUCCAGAGCAGCAUUGUGGCAAGGGGUUAACUUCUUUGGAGUAAUGAAGUAAUGAAGAGCUGUGAUCAUUCUGACAUCUGCUGGCUUGGUGACCUUGGGUAAAUGAGACAUCCAUUCCGCCCCCUCCAAGUCAGCCCGGCCCGCUAACGUCGGAUUCCAUCCUUAAUGCCUCUCUCCUACUGACUCAUCCUAGCCAGCCCGCAGUACUUCUGUCCGGGCUCGCAUUUCGGCUGCCUUCUCUUCUCUGCUACUGCCAUCCCCUGGUCAUUGCACCGCCCGACUCAGAAGGGGCAGAUGAGAACAAUGUUCCAGUGGCCAUAAAGGAGACUCUGUGGAGUACUGAGAGCCGGGUUAGAGAGCAAAGAAGCCAAGGCCAUGGGCUUCAUCAUGAGCCGUCACCACUUGGGCUUGCCGCUGUACUUGGAUGGUCCUGGAAGAGAACGUGAGGCCAAUGACUUUGCAUAAUAAUUCUGUCUCAGUCAAUACAAUUUGUACAUGAAUCAUACAUAAUGCAGGUCCAUCACAAUGGUGUCAUUUUGAUCCUUUGAGUACAAAGGACAACAACUAAUUACACACACACAUAUAUAUUAAUUAUAUUGCCAAUCUCUUGGUUGUAUAUAGUUGUUGGCAGGUUUUUUUCUCCCAUUAGACUAUGAAUUCCAUAUAUUUAUCUUUCGUGUGUGUCCCCUUGCCGUCAAGCAUAGUUCAUGGCAUGGUAAAGUGCUAGAUCAAUGCUUAGUGACUGAUCAAUCUUUGAAGAUAAGGGCAUAAUAUCAUAACCAUCAUUAAUAAAUGAAAGAUGCAUGUCUUCCUUAACA
rnacentral:lncRNA from 1 species